rnacentral:rRNA from 1 species
UACGACUACAUAUCAGGCAUAUCAAUAAGCGGAGGAAAAGAAACUAACAAGGAUUCCCUUAGUAACGGCGAGUGAAGCGGGAAGAGCUCAAAUUUGAAAUCUUCAAGGUUCUACCUUGACGAAUUGUAGUUUAAAGAAGUGUUUUCUGUUAGAGGAGUAGCAAAAGUUCCUUGGAAUGGGACAUCAUAGAGGGUGAGAAUCCCGUAUUUGGUUAUUCUUUCUAGCUUUGUGAUACACUUUCAAAGAGUCGGAUUGUUUGGGAAUGCAGUCCAAAAUGGGUGGUAAAUUUCAUCUAAAGCUAAAUAUUGGCGAGAGACCGAUAGCGAACAAGUACCGUGAGGGAAAGAUGAAAAGAACUUUGAAAAGAGAGUUAAACAGUACGUGAAAUUGUCAAAAGGGAAGCGUUUGACACCAGUGUUGUCUUUUCCGAAAAUCAAUUAAGAAGGGCUUGAUUUUGUGUUGUAUUGACCUUAUCAGCUUUCUUCACUCUUUUUCGAGUCUUUCUUAAUGCACUUUUCGGUUAACAAGUCAACAUCAAUUUCUUUUGUUGUAAAAGGGUAUUUGGAAGGUGGCUUUCUUUUCGGAGAAAGUGUUUAUAGCCUUAUACCUCUACAAUCGGAGAGAUUGAGGUCUGCAGCGUAGAUCCUUCGGGGCUAGAUACACUUGUGCUAAGUUAUAGCUUUUCAUAGACAACUUGUUGACUAUGUUUAGUCAUGUAGCUUACCCGCUUGUGCUAUUUUACCUACGCUUAGGAUGUUGAUCUACAGAGCGAGAG